rnacentral:miRNA from 1 species
AGUCAGCCUGUCGUUCGAAGCUUUGAAUACAGGCAUUGACUUCUCUCUCGCUGUGAAAGUCCUUGAUGAUAU